GGGGAAAUAGAGUUGGUUAGAGUGUUGGUCUGUCGUGCCAGAAGUCGCGGGUUCGAACCACGUUUUCCCCG
rnacentral:tRNA from 1 species